rnacentral:piRNA from 1 species
UUUUGCUUUAGGGUCUAAUCCUACAGGC